rnacentral:lncRNA from 1 species
UUCGAGACUGCAGCUGGCACCCAUUUGAACCCACGCUUGUGAGCUCAUCCUGGGACGGCCGGGUCGCUAAAUGGACCGGUGCCCGUGACGAGAAGAGUUCUGAUGUCGAUUGAGCCUAGUGUGCAGUGAUCAGCAAUACUUCGUGGUCUGCGAAAACAUACGCAAUCUUAUAUACGGGAAAACUAAGAAUAGCUCUUCAAAACAACAGAAGGAUCAUGUGUUGUAAAUUGUAAAUACUGAACACAGAAACCAUGUUGAGUGCAUAAGCACUACUGUGUCCUCUUAAAUACUCUGCAUAAAAAGCUUCCUGUCCCUACGGACGUGUGUCCUCUUAAUUGUCGAUGUUCCGCUGAUUAUUUGGUUCUUAGAUCAUCGGAAGCUCAUCCUUUCUGUAAAUGAAUUUUCAUGGGGUCGUCCUUUUGUAAAUGAAAAUUACCUUAGCAUAUCUUUUGAUGGGAAUGCGGCAAGUAAUCGGUAUUCUAACCCGGUAGAUGCAAGGCGAACACCGACGAAACCUAAUUCCAUUCCAGAUUUUUCCAUAUCCAAGCAACACAGAUCUUCCAACACGGACAGAGAGAGAUUUCAUCGUCUAUCCGCUACGACACCACGCAAUUUUAACAGAUCCGGCGACACCGGCUAAACCCGAUGCCUCCUCUCUAAAUCUGAAGAUCCCCGGCUACUUCUUGACGCCGUUCUUGCCGGCGCCCUUGCCGCCCUUGGCGUCGGCGCCCCCCGCAGCCUGCGCCGCCUUCCUUGCAGCCUUCUCCUGCAGCGCCUUGGCGUCCCGCUCUCGCCGCUGCUCCGGCGUGAGCCCGUCGUCGCGCCCCUUGGCCACCGGCCGCCGCGCCUGCGCCCUCUGCCGGUCCCGCUCCCGCUGGUCGCCGCGUGCAGCCCCCCGCUCAGGUCAAGGACAACACCAUCCAAAAACACACCGAAACAAAAGGAAAGAAAAAAAAAGAUUCUACCAAGAUCUAAGGAUAACAGAACAAGAAGAUGAAAAUCCAAAGAGAGAGAGAGAAAUUCUACGCAUGGUGUGGUGGAGGAUAUGAGUCAUUCUGCUGACUUCUGAACUGUAGAGAGAGAAGGAAGAUGCGUGUGAAUGGCGAGGAAGCGUCUAGACGCAAGGGGAACCGUGAGGUCGAGACGGGACGGUGGGUGGGGAUUUAAGCAGCUUGAGAGAGCGGAACGUCUUGUUUCCGGAAGCGUCUGUGGGUUCCGGAACCUUCCGAGCGGGGGCAAUAGAGUAAAAUCCACGCGACGCGCACCGACCAGCCGUUCCUGCUGCUGCGUGCGCUCUUGGCGAUUGUGCG